AUCCCGUUCUUGUUCUCAAUAGCUCUUAAUUGAGUUCACCUGUGUCGCCCCGCACGUGCGGCGACGCAUUAUUUUGCGUUGAUCCCAAACGCGUAUUAAAAUGGUCCCGCGGUUGCUUGUUUGUUUUUUGUGCGCUUUUGACUGAACAAUCCGGACAACGUGGCCACCGACGGGGGAGCGAGGACGCCCGCAUUGUUUGUCAAAUUCAGGACUGGCGCUGGAAGCUGUAGGUGGAGGGAAGACCAGGAGUGGUGCAGCUCUGCAGAUGCUGAAGGUGUGCCAAAGCGUCACGUGUGUUCCUGAAGGGACUGAGGCGACGCAGUCGGAGGUCCCUGCGGUGGCGGUCAGCGGGAGGUGUCAAGACCAACCAGCUCCUCGUCCAGGAAAGGUCACGAUGGAAGAGCAGAUGGCUGUGCAGUUGCCAUAGUGCAGAGACCCAGAGUAUGAUGACCGAACAGUUGAUCUACAACGAUGGCCUACUCCCCAUCCACCCUGAGGAUCCCUGGCUACACCUACAAUCCAAUCUACCCCAGACAUAACCACUCGGAGCUCAACAACUCCUGCAACUCCUACACACAUACUGUUACCACUUUACCAUUUUAACUUUAAAACAAAGUACUGUAAUUCACACCAUGUUGUAGGAAAAGCAUGUUUAGAAUGACUUGUACAUUUUAUUUCUGUGACCCCAACUAUUGUAUUUCUAACCCAGUUACCUCUGAACCCUCUUUCUAAGGGAGCGACUAAAGGGACAAAGCUGGAGCUAACCUGAGCUUAACAAUCUUUCUAAUCUUUCUUUCUAAUGUACUAAAUUGAAUCAUAUGAAAGGCCUAAAGUAACUUGUUUAACAAAACAAAAAGCCAACCUAAUCCCCAAACUUAACCAUCAAACUAAAGAUCUCAAAUGCCUAAACUCUCUUACCUUAACCGAGUACCUAAACCGAACCAUUUAACUAAACAUCUCAAAGGCCUAAACUCGCUUACCUCAACCUAACCUAAUACCAAAACUUGACCAUCUAACUAAAGAGCUCAAAUUCCUAAACUCGCUUACCUCAACCUAACCUAAUACCAAAACUUGACCAUCUAACUAAAGAGCUCAAAUUCCUAAACUCUCUUACCUCAACCUAACCUAAUACCCAAACUUGACCAUAUAACUAAAUAGCUCAAAUGCCUAAACUCUUACCUUAACCUAGUACUUAAACUUGACCAUCUAACUAAACAUCUCGAAUACCUAAACUCUUUCCUAAUAUCUAAACAAUCUUUAAUGCAAUCACUAAAUGCCUAAACUUAACCAAACACCAAUAAUAAAAGUUAACCAUCCUUAAUCUUAAACCCAAACCAGACUUGUCCCUGGGUCGCUCCACUUUCUUUCUUUAAAGGCAUCUCUUUUCCCCCACAUCUGUGUUUUAUUCCUUGAGGACUCCAAGUGCUUCAGAUGAUAUUUGAAAACUUGUUUCAUUAAUAAAGAUACUUCAUCUUUACAGAUUUUGUUUUGGGGAAUUGGGACAGCUGAGCAGCUUAAGCAUCCUUACUGGUGAAUCUGAUCUGACAAUAUCAAUUUUAGGACUAUGAAGCCAAUAACAUAAGGCCAAAUAUGUGAAAAGACGAGGUAGACAAUGAUCGAGGAGUUAAUUGGUAACUAUCUAAAAUGGAACCAAAUGCCUAUUUAUUGAUCUGCUACCAGGCUAUCGCAGUAGGGGAAUCUGAAGGAGUACCCUACUGUGUUGCAGGGGUUCUUGCUAGAUUGCAUUAUGGCUAAGGCCAUUGAUCAAGAUUGUUAAUUUGAAGAAUAUGAAUAAAGAGUACUUGAAGUGGA